UGCAUCCGUGCCUCCCUUCCUCGCCCCCCUCCCAUUUCCGCCCCCUCUCUCUUCCCUAAAACGCCGCCCGCCGCGACCUCCCCAGAUCCAAUCCACGCCGCCGCCUCCUCUCCGAUCAACGCCGCCCUGCUCCUCUCGACCCGCUGCCUCUCCUCCCUCCGGCGCGGCGGCUCGUGCAGUUAAGCAUCGGUGACAUCUUCGUCGUUCCCGGGGAUUUGACGCCACGCUGCUCCACCACCUCAUCACCAAGCCUGGGAUGUGCCUCGUCAGCAGCUGCAACGAGCUACACGCGCGCCAGCGGCAUCGGCGCAUGCGCUGCCAAGCUCACCGUUGUGGCCUCAACACCAUCGCUGGCGCCUACAACGAAUCUGCCCGUCAUCUGCAUCGCAUGUGGCCCCAACUACAAUGACUAGGGCACCAACCACAUCCUCCACCACACCUUCGCUGGCGCAGGUCGUUGGAGAAACUCCUCGUCAGUGGGUGGAGGAAAACGAGCUCUUUGACCUCUAACAGGAUACGGCGACUGGGGUUAAACAGGAUCGCACACCCACCAUGCAGGGUUUAAUUUUUCGUAGUCUAUUCUAGCCAGCAAAAGAUGCAGCGUUCUCUUCUCUUCAAAGAAAUGGUUGGUACAUCAUGCUCUGCUCGCUGUUCCAUGUCCAUGCAUGAUGCUUGUGACUCGUAUGUUUGUUUUGAGAUGAAAAUCAUGCUUUGCUUUUCUAAAGUUCAGAGAAAAGCCUUAUAUAGUUAAAAAGUCCAUAAUGUUAAUUUCCCUCCAUAAUUGACGGAAACCUGCUGCAGUCUAUGUAUUAUGAAAACAUCUGAAGUAGAUGAGGUAUUUUUUCUCAGUAGGCAUAUUUAGCUCAGUGUCUUACACACUCCCUGUUGUCCAUGCUGAAUUCAAAGUUCAGUACUUGCGUCCACCUCACUGGCUCAGUUACCUGUUUACACAAUCUCUAGUGUGUUGCCGAAUAAAUACUUGGUAUGUCCAUAAUAGGUGAAGGAUGUUCUCAACCAUGUAGCUAUUCUUUGCAUCCGUGUCUGCUUCCUGACAACUAUUAUUUACUUGUCACAGAUCUGCAUUCUGCAUAUGUGUUUCUUUAUUUUUUGUUACCUAUUUCUGUUACGUCCCCAUGCUAUACAAAACUAACAAGUAGUUCCUCCUUAUGAGGAGCUCUGUGGUUCAGGAAAAACUCCUUCUGAUGAAGUGUUAUUGCUGUUCAUCCUUAUCCAGUGAAAGAAUGUUAAUUUCACUAGCUAACCUGGAGGGAGAAGUGGCGCUCAAGGUCACAGAUUACUUAGGAGACUGCAGGCUGUGCUUAUUGACGUUGAAGUUGGAGUAAUGCUGGGUGACGAUUCCUUCAAGCUUUUUGCAUGGUUCAACCAGCACUGUUACGGGAGUUCUAAGUCGAAGAAAUUUGGAGCCCGAAGCUUCACUAAGCACAUUCGCUGCCACUUGUAAUUAGUCCAGUUAUAUUGUAGUAAGCGUAUCUGGUUCUAUGAGCACUAUGUAAAGACCUAAUAAGCUAAUUUUGCUUAUUAUUUCAAGAAUUUCGUGUUCUAAUUUUCACUACAAUUUUAAGAAUUUUGUAUGCUCU